CAGCCGCGUAAUUCCGGCUCCAAUAGCGUAUAUUAAAGUUGUUGCAGUUAAAAAGCUCGUAGUUGAAUUUCGGGAUCAAUAUGUUGGUCGUGCCUUGGUACGUACUGGCGUCAUUGGUUUCUACCUUCUGAAGAACCUCGAUGUCAUUAAUUUGGUGUCUUGGGGAAUCAGGACUGUUACUUUGAAAAAAUUAGAGUGUUUAAAGCAAGCUCACGCUUGAAUACAUUAGCAUGGAAUAGUGAAAUAGGACGUUUGAUUCUAUUUUGUUGGUUUCUAGGAUCGACGUAAUGAUUAAUAGGGAUAGUUGGGGGCAUUAGUAUUCAAUUGUCAGAGGUGAAAUUCUUGGAUUUAUUGAAGACUAACUACUGCGAAAGCAUUUGCCAAGGAUGUUUUCAUUAAUCAAGAACGAAAGUUAGGGGAUCGAAGACGAUCAGAUACCGUCGUAGUCUUAACCAUAAACUAUGCCGACUAGGGAUCGGAUGAUGAUAAUUUUUUAAUGACUCAUUCGGCGCCUUACG
rnacentral:misc_RNA from 1 species